rnacentral:lncRNA from 1 species
UCCCCCUAAUGAUCCAAUUGGGAUAAUGGGGCUUCGUUAGCACUUACCAUCAAUUUAACAUUUCCAUAAUGUCAAUUACAUACUAUAAACCCUAAAAGUUAUCUUUUAGCUAACUUUCAAUUGCCAUUUAAAUGGCCAUCCAUUUUCACUUUCCUAUCACUCCAAAGUAAUUAACAAUCUCAACUACAAAAUAUUCACAAAUCAAAUCUCUAGUCAUUCUCAACACUUAAAACCCAAAACUAGUUUACUACUCACUUUGAUAGCUUUGUAACUUUGAACUUCUUUCCAAAAGCUCUCAAGCUAUUAAUAAAGCUUCAUCUUUCUCUCUCUAAAACACCUAACUAGUGAGAGAUUAUGUAAACAAGAUUUUCAUCAUUUUCAAGGGUUUUAAAGUGAGAGAGUGGAAGAAUACAAGGGUUCUAGUCAAAAGGGCACCAGGGUAUGAAAAUUAGAGCUAGAGAGAGAAAGUUAUGAAAGCUUCACAUCAAGCUUCCAUGGAGGAAUUGAAGAAACGUGAGAGGGAAGAGAACAAGAAGAAGAAGCUACUAGAAAUCCCAAGAAGUUGCUAGAAGGAGAGGAUAUUUAUGGCCCAAGCUUAUCCACUCCCUUGAAAAUUACUAAAAUGCCCCUCCAUAAAUUAGCUUAAUCCUUGAAAUCCCACACUUUUUCUUCAAUUUUCCCACCUAAGGUUUGUGUUCUUUCCUUUCCUCUUCACUUCAUGCUUUGGCCGACCAUAUGGGUGAGACUAAGAGAGUUUUAAAUAGAUUUUACAAGGAAAUUCUAGAAUAAUCCAAGCUUGACACAUGGCAUGUUUCCAUUGGUCCAUG